rnacentral:lncRNA from 10 species
GGAGUGCCCCUGGGAAAGUCCUAAAUCAAGCACCCAGAAAUACUCAGAGGACCGGCUCUUCAGGGAAGGACAUCCCCACAACCAGGACCCCUGGCAAAGAGGAAUUAAAGACCCAGUUGUGUUGUGAUGUUCAUUAUUCAGAUCUCGGAGCGCUCACGGAUCUCUUGGAUGUCCCCUGCCAGCUCAACUGAUGAGACUGCUACUUUAUGUACCACUGCUUGAAAAAGAAGGGAAUCUCCUAUUUCUCACACAGGAUAACAGUUGAGAGUCAUUGCCACAAUAAAACAGACAUGUUAGCGGUCAGGUUCAUAUAAGGACUAAGCGGCCCCAUGAAUCACAUAGGACUGGCUAAUCCUAGGACACUCCUCUCUGUGGUUUGCUAGGUAGCAGAGAGGGGAAGCUAAAUAGUAGUUUCUAAUAACAACUGGGAAGGCUUUUUCUUUUUAAAUAAAAAUGGAAUUGGCAUAAUUGGGAAUGAAGAUAAAGCUUGGAACCAAGUUAGAGAAGGCAAAGUGUACGUAGAAGAGCUGUUACAAAUAUAAAACUUGGCUGCGUUCUUUGUGAAGGCUCAAACUUGGGAAGGUUAAAUACCAUAAAUUUUUUCAUUUGUUCUGUAUUUUGAUCCUGAAAAGAAAGCUGGCUUUGCCCAUGUAUUACUUUAAAAACUUGGGGGAAAGGAGAAGAAAGGGACAAGUUUUUAAAAACUGUUUGAAAACAUUACAGCUGAAAGAAGCUACAUAGGAGCUGGGUAGAGAACCUAGUGACUAAGAGAAUGAGGAAUGCCGAGUACGCAUCCUGUGGGCGGGGCUCUACCCUUGCCGCUUUCAGAUUUAACUGCCUGAUCAAAUAGUUUUACAAGAAUAAACUCAGGAAACAGGUUGAGAAAUGAGCAGCUGAGACUGGAGUGUUCACUUUGCAAAGAACAUACUACGAAAAGAUCUGCACUCUAGGAGGUCUCAGCUGAUGAGGAAGAUGCUAGCACAGUGUCCUAUGGUCAGAAAAGAUGACCUGGCAAGAGGGGGAGUGGAGGAGAGGCAGGAAAGGGGAUCCCUUCAUGCUGAAAUCAAUGCAAUGAUGUCUGAUAUAUACAGAAAAACAGGUCUUGUAUAAAUAUGUCAUUAUAAGUGACAAGAUAAUAACAUUUUCUAGUGUAUGGAUUCUAUUUCUUUAUGUCAUUCUGGUCAACCAAAAACAAUCCUAUUUGGCAGAUUUCUGGCAUUUUGCCUCUUCCCCUAAUGACAGAUCUAAACACAUAUAUAAAAAUAGGUGGCCACAAAGAAAUAACUUCUGGCUUUAAAUGUCAUUUGGCUAGAAAUGUCUCAGGCAGCCUCUCCCAACUUUCCUGUGAUAUCUUUGAAAACAAAGAGAAAGACAAGAACUCAAAACAAGCACCAGAAACUUGACCCAAUCAAAGUCUUACCCAGAUUCUUGGAAGCAUUGUUCUUAAUUACAAGGCAAGAAACAUAGGAUUGAUACAAACCCAUCCAAAUUAUGCCUCAUGUAAUAGAAGUCAGUGGGAAGCCAGCUGCCCCUAUUUUCUUAGAGACACAGAGAUUCACGGUCUGUACCAACCAGAACACUAAGCGGGCACCCAUGUGCCAUGGAAGUCCUGCUUUUUGAGGAUGCCAGUACUACAUCUAUUUGGAGAUAGCACCUCCCAGGAAAUAACUGGCCAGGAAGUGUGUGUAUACGUGGGGGAGGGGUAGGAAGAAGGAGAACCAGCAAUUUGUACUGUAUCUUGGGAGGUGUAACUUUAACUUUACAAGCUAAACACUACAGGCAAGGGUGGAGACAGGAAGAUUCCUAAUAGCAGGACACUCUAUCAAUUGCAGUUUUGCAGGUGACUCUGUGGGUCACAAGAAUAGAGAACCAGAUGGGGAAUGUGCUACCUCAGUAGAAUGAAAAUGUUAUUUGGUGCAUGUCUGCUAGAAACUGAAAAUUGGUCUGGACUCAUGCAUGUCAACUUGUACUUCAGGUCUGAAAAGGGGAUGCAUAUGUAUAAAAUUCAACAGAAUGUACAAAUAAUUAAGAUUAAUAAGUGACCUGAGCAAGGAUGCAGAAUACAAGGUCAAUUAAUUUCUAUGUACUAGCAAUAAAUAAUUUUAAAUGAAGUAAAAAUACUAUAUACAACAUAAAAUCAUCAAAUAUUAAAGAAUAAAUACAAUAGAAUAUGUUUAAGAUCUCUACAUUGAAAACUAUAAAACACUGAAGGGAAAAUGUUUAAAAGACCAAAAUAAAUGGAGGAAUAUACCAUGUUUGUGGAUCAAAGCAUACAAUAUUGUUAAGACGUCAAUCCUCACUAAAUUCUAUUGUAAUCCCAAUCCAAAUCCCAAAUAUUCUUCUACAAUAUGGCUUUGCCACUGCCCCAUCAAUAGAAGUUUACUUUUUCUCUCUUUGAAUCUAGAUAGGCUUAUAUGCUUCAUGGCUUCCUCGGCAGGUGAUAAAUGGCAAUUCAGCUUCAACCUGGAUUACAGGAAUAGCCAUUGUUUUAGACUUCAACUGUCACGUAAGCAGUUCAGCUGAACUGAGGCACCAUGACGUGAGGAAGCCCAAAGUCAGCCUAUCUGGAGGGAUCACAUGGAGAGGUCCCAAGACUACACAAAAAGAAGAUGAUAUGAAUGCCUGGCCAGCCCCUAGCUGCUCUAGUUCCUUGCUGUUCCAGCUCCAGCCAUCAUCCAACUGCAACUGCAUGAGAGACCCCAGAAGCAUAGAGCUAAGCCCUUCCCAAAUUCCUUCCCACAGAAACCCUGAGAGAUAAUAAAUGACUGUUGUUGUUUUCAAUCACUGUUUUGAAAUUGGUUGUUAGGCAGCAAGAGAAGCCAGAACAGGGACCUUGGAAUACACAGAAUUUCUUAAUCAGGAUACAAAAAGA